GUCACAUUCGGAGGUGCUGGGGUUUAGGACUUCAGCACAUGGAUUUGUCGGGGCGCAGGUUCAGUCUGUAGCAGAUGGCUUCUCUCAGGGAGCAAGGGGCCUGGGUUGAUCAUAAAAAUCGUGGAGCGUCGUGAGGAGACCCUCCUCCAGCUCCUGGUAGCAGAACCAGGACCAACGGCCUCGACAGAGAAGGUGUUGAUGGCCUCAAAGGGCCGGAGUCCCCAGGAGAACCGCAGACCCUGGUCCACGGCAGCCCUCACGUGCAUCCCCUCGCACCAGCCUGCGACAUGUGCACACCUUCGCUGGCCCACUCAUCCUCCUCACGUGCCGGAUCCCCAUCUGAGGACACGUGACCCCGACGCGCACCCUGCAUACACAAACCCACCCCCACUUGCGUGCACAGCCCCUCACACCUGUGCACAUGCUCCCCCCACCCCCGCCUUGCAUGCACGCACACACACCGGGAACAACCCCGAGACAGUGUGGGCUGCAGGGGAAGCUCAUUACAAGGGCGGGCCCCGUGGGGCCCUGAUGCCUCUCUCCUGGGGGCUGGGAGCUGGGUCAGUGGGCUCCAGCCCCGCCCUCCCUGGGCAGCUGGCUGUCAGAAGGCCCUUCCCCUUCAGAGCCAUCGGCCUGGGGCAGCGCGCGCCCAGCCCUGGAAGUGUGUCAACAGGGCAGAGUCUGCACCCAGUGACCGUGGAGGCCCCUGGGGCCAAGAGGGACCCCUUGAACUUACCCUCAAAACCAGCUCUGGAUCCCCCACCGUCGUGCUCCUUCCCCAGUGCUCUCCCGCUCAGAGAGAGGCACCUCCAGGCCAGUGAAGCCCAAGACCUGGGAAUUCGCUACCUGGAGCCUCCCUCUCUUCACUGUUCCCCUCAACCAAGCACCCCAGUCCUGGCGAGCCCACCUCCUAAAUAGCCCUUGGGGCUACCUUCUUCCUCCUCUCCCCCCGCCACCACCUGUCCAGACCCCCUUGUCUGCCGGGCCACCUGCAGAGGCCCCCUCAGUGGCUCCCUCAGUCUUGUGACCCUGCCCUCUCCCUCUGACUUUGCACACCCCAGGCGAACCCCAGGUUCUCCAGUCCCUGCCCUGCCCUCCAGCCGCAGCCAGGUCUCCGCUGCUGUCUUCUCCGCGCUCCCCCACGGGCCUCCUUUCCGUCCCCCCAGGGCUCCGGGCUGUGCUCACCUCCAGGCCUUUGUCCCUGUCGCCUUGUCAGGGAAGGUCCUCCUCACCCUCCGGCUCCCUGGCAUCUGCAGAGCUCAGCUCCAGGGGCGCUGCCUCAGGGAAGCCCUCGCUGACCCCAAGACGGCUCAAGUCCCCCCGUGAGAAACUCCUAAAAGCACCUGAUCGGGGACCCUUUGCGGUCAUGCAAUUGUUUGAGUUCUUUGCUUAAAGCCCGGGCUAUGAGGCUGGGCUGAGGACAGGGACCAUGCCUGGGUGUCCCCGUGAUGUCCCCCGUGCCUGGCACUUAGGUGAUUAGUCAAUGAUCAUUGAAUGAAUGAAUGAAUGAAUAGACUCUGUUCUAGUGUUUUAUUCCGCCCAGGAUUUUGCCUGGAGGGGGCAGGACACUCAGAACAGCACCAGGAAUCAGGGGUCAGGAGUCAUUUUGAGGGCCAGUGAGUCUCCCAGGCUGAGGCAGCAGAGCAGGAUGGCUGGAUGUGGCCUGGUCUUGUGAAGGUGGGUGGUCAGUGUGGCCACGUGGACAAAAGGAGGGUCCGGGAAGCAGCUUUGGCACAGUCUCUCUGGCAUCGCCCAGGAAGGGGCCUCCAGCAGCUAACACAACCCUCCUGUCUGCUUGGCAGAUAUCCCACGGUAGUGAGACAGCUGUCCAUCCACCCAUCCCAACCUUUGUUGGUAGUGACCGGCCCUGUGUCCCACCCUGGCAGAUGUCCCAGUCCAUUGGGGAAGACAUAUGCCCUCUUACUGUGUGGUAAGCAGUUUGAUGGGGGGAGCUUCUGAUACUGCUUCACAGCUCAAGGAAGUCUUCUCAGAAGGGCCACUUAGACUAGGCCUUGAGGGAUGCCUAGGAGUUCACUAGGAAAGACUUUCCAGAGGAGGUGACAUUUGGGCUGGGUCUCGAGGGAUGGGUACAAGUUCACAAAGAAAACGAGAGGAAACACAUCUUCUCUGGAUGCUGGGUUCUCUUUAGGGACUCAUGUAGGCCAUAGGGCCAGUAAGACCUGGGCCCUGCUCCUCCAUGCCAGCCUCUCCCACAUAGCCCGUGUGCACUCAACGGGAGAGCACGUUUCAGCUGCCCUGUCCUAGGGGGUGAGGACUGGCCCAGUUCAUGUGUGUGCUCAGCAGGCAGCAAGUGCUCAGCUGGAGUGGGAAUCCAUCCAGUUUCAGGCCAUGCCUAGGGCAGGACUUCCCUCUUGGGGGCCUCCUGUUUACAUACCUCCAGUGACGGGCACUCACUCCCUUGCAGGGAAGCAUUUUCCCUUUCCAGACCCAGCAGUAUUUUCAGAAGGCGAGUGGGGCCUUGUUGGUCCUGGCUAGAUUGGCCAUAACCAAGUGGUGAGGAUUGGGGGCAGCUGGAAGGGAGAGGGGCCUGGUGGGGAAACAGGCUGCCCUGGAUUUCAACCCCUUCCUGCCUGUUCACCAGCAGCUCAGAUACUUCUGGGAAUGGCUUCAUCCCUUCCGGGGUCUCCCAGGGAGCAUCAAAGGUGGGGAAAAAGUUCUCAGAAGUUUACCGGGGCAUACAGGAAACCUCAUGGGGUGGGACCAGGUCUGAAGCGGGCAUCUGUGCCAGGCUGAGGCUUAGAGAACCCACUGGGCCCAUUGGCACUGGGACCUGGGCAAUGGGGCAGGGGCUAUGGAGACUCAAGUUUACCAAGAACAAGGACUCUGGAAUCCAGGCUCCACCAUGUACCAGCUGGUGACCUCAGGCAAGUCACGGCACUGCCUUGUGCCUCAUAAGAGGUUAUGAUAAUGGCCCCUUCUUUACAGGAUUGUGGUAAAGUUUAAAUAAAUUAAAAUAUGCAAGCUGCUUAGAACUAGGCCCAGCCAAAGCAGGGCUGUGGCAGUACAGGUGUUGUGCUGGUUUGUUCCCCCAGGAGCACUGGGGAGGCCGAGGCAUCUGCAGGAGCACCUAGUGAGUGCCAGACCCCAGGGACCCAGCUCCUGCCCCGAGCACAGACCAAAGCCACGCGGGCUACCUCUGUCGGGGGAGAGAUACAGCGUCCCACUUUACAGAAGAGGAACCUGAGGCCCAGGGGAGGGCGUCAUCUGCAGGCGGCAAAAGGGUCUUGCGAUGAAAUUGGCCCAUUCACAACAACGUGGAUGGACCUCGAGGGUAUUAUGUUAAGCGAAAUAAGCCAGUCAGAGAAAGACAAACUCUAUAUGACUCCACUCAUAGGUGGAAGUUAGUAUAUUGAUAAGGAGAUCUGAUCAGUGGUUACCAG
rnacentral:lncRNA from 1 species